UCCCCGGUGGUCCAGUGGUUAAGACUCCAUGCUCCCCAUGCAGGGGGCCCAGGUUCAAUCCCUGGUCAGGGAA
rnacentral:tRNA from 1 species